AUUGAACGCUGGCGGCAUGCCUUACACAUGCAAGUCGAACGGUAACAGGCCGCAAGGUGCUGACGAGUGGCGAACGGGUGAGUAAUGCAUCGGAACGUGCCCAGUCGUGGGGGAUAACGCAGCGAAAGCUGUGCUAAUACCGCAUACGAUCUAUGGAUGAAAGCGGGGGACCGGAAGGCCUCGCGCGAUUGGAGCGGCCGAUGUCAGAUUAGGUAGUUGGUGGGGUAAAGGCCUACCAAGCCGACGAUCUGUAGCUGGUCUGAGAGGACGACCAGCCACACUGGGACUGAGACACGGCCCAGACUCCUACGGGAGGCAGCAGUGGGGAAUUUUGGACAAUGGGCGCAAGCCUGAUCCAGCAAUGCCGCGUGCAGGAAGAAGGCCUUCGGGUUGUAAACUGCUUUUGUACGGAACGAAACGGCCUGGGUUAAUACCCUGGGCUAAUGACGGUACCGUAAGAAUAAGCACCGGCUAACUACGUGCCAGCCGCCGCGGUAACAC
rnacentral:rRNA from 1 species